ACUUUGUUUAUAACAGUAUCUAUAUGGCAAUGCCACCAAACAGCAUUUCAUUCUUAAACAAUGCCAAAUGCAUCACAUUUGAUACAAGCAUUUCUGAGACCUAUUGCAUAAUUUUAUGGUAAAAACUUCACUCUUGUAUCCAGUCUGAUAUUUCUCUUCCACCCCCUGGUGGAUACCUUUAUCACUACAACAAUUCAGACAGUACAUGGGACAAUCCAAGAUGGCAGCCUUCUGAAAGUUCCCAACUCCCUGGAUCAAGAUGGCUAAACAGUACACUGCUGAAGAUGUCCUACGCUUCCUUGAUGGCAAUUUGAGUGACAGAGGAGUUGAUGUCUGCAGAUGAUGAAGUGUUGGAUAAAGAUUGGACCCCUAAUGCAGACUACAAUGAAGAGAACUCAAAUACUGGUAGUAGCAAUGAGGAAGAUAAAACUGUUGCUGAUAGGCUUGAAGAGGAAGAGGAGGGUCUCAGAAUGUCACAUGCAACAAUACAGUGUGGUAGAAGCAAAGUGAAAAGAGAAGAAAAGAAAGGCACAUCCAGCUGCUGAGUUUGAUAAAAAAGUAAUGACCAGAUGAGUAAUAAAAGAAAAAGUCACUGGAAACAGUCACAGUUUUAAAAAAAAUGAA